rnacentral:rRNA from 1 species
UGCCAGCAGCCGCGGUAACACGGGGGGCGCAAGCGUUAUUCGGAAUUAUUGGGCGUAAAGGGUGCGCAGGCGGCGCGCUAAGUCAGGGGUGAAAUCCCACCGCCCAACGGUGGAACUGCCCUUGAUACUGGCGUGCUCGGAUUGGCGCGAGGCAGGCGGAACGCGGCAUGUAGCGGUGAAAUGCUUAGAUAUGCCGCAGAACACCGAUUGCGUAGGCAGCCUGCCAGAGCCAUAUCGACACUGAGGUGCGAAAGCGCGGGGAGCGAACAGGAUUAGAUA